rnacentral:rRNA from 1 species
AUGAAUCUUAGAUAGCUGCAGCUUACGCUGUACUAAGGUAGCAUAAUCACUUGCCUUGUAAUUUAAGGAUCGUAUAAAAGACAUCACGCAUUUUAAACUGUACCAAAAAUUUAUAUUUAAAUUUUAAUAAAAGUAAAAAUACUUUUAAACAUAAAAAAGACGACAAGACCCUGAGAACUAAACUAAAGUUUCACUGGGGCGGUCAAAUAAAAAAAUCUUACUUAUCAUACACAAAAUAAAUAAGUUACCUCAGGGAUAACAGCAUAAUUUAUUUUUAAAGUUCCUAUUUAUAAACAAGAUUAUGACCUCGAUGUUGAAUUAAAAAAUCUAUAAUUACGCAAUAGUAAUAAAAGACAGUCUGUUCGACUAUUAAAAUUUUACAUGAUUUGAGUUCAGACCGGCGCAAGCCAGGUCGGCUUCUAUCUUUUUUAAUUUAUUAACAGUACGAAAGGACCAAAAUAACAUAUUACAUAAUAAUUUGACAGAACAAUUGUACUAAACUUAGAAUUUAAACAUGCUAUU